rnacentral:rRNA from 1 species
UACGGAGGGUGCGAGCGUUGUUCGGAAUUACUGGGCGUAAAGCGCGUGUAGGCGGCCUUCUAAGUCUGGUGUGAAAGCCCGGGGGCUCAACCCCCGGAAGUGCAUUGGAUACUGGGAGGCUGGAGUACCGGAGAGGAGGGUGGAAUUCCUGGUGUAGCGGUGAAAUGCGUAGAUAUCAGGAGGAACACCGGUGGCGAAGGCGGCCCUCUGGGACGGAUACUGACGCUGAGACGCGAAAAGCGUGGGGGAGCAAACAGG